ACCUGCCUUGUGUUGACUCUCUGCGCAGCCUUCUGGUGGAAGAACUUUGGACUUGCUUUGUUAUUUUGUAUCUUGCAAGUCUUGUCCUUUUCCUGGUACAGUCUGUCAUACAUCCCGUGUGUGAGG